rnacentral:rRNA from 1 species
UUUCCUACGGGAGGCAGCAGUGGGGAAUAUUGCACAAUGGGCGCAAGCCUGAUGCAGCGACGCCGCGUGCGGGAUGGAGGCCUUCGGGGUGUAAACCGCUUUUGUUCAAGGGCAAGGCACGGUCUUUGGCCGUGUUGAGGGGAUUGUUCGAAUAAGCACCGGCUAACUACGUGCCAGCAGCCGCGGUAAUAUGUAGGGUGCAAGCGUUAUCCGGAUUUAUUGGGCGUAAAGGGCUCGUAGGCGGUUCGUCGGGUCCGG